CCUAGAGAGAGAAGUAGUGCCCGUACCGCAAACCGACACAGGUAGAUGAGGAGAGAAUCCUAAGGCCGGCGGAAGAAUUGCAGUUAAGGAACUAGGCAAAUUGACCCCGUAAGUUCGCGAGAAGGGGUGCCUGCGAGAGCAGGCCGCAGAGAAUAGGCCCAAGCAACUGUUUAGCAAAAACACAGGUCUCUGCUAAAGCGUAAGCUGAUGUAUAGGGGCUGACGCCUGCCCGGUGCUGGAAGGUUAAGGGGAACACUUAGCGCAAGCGAAGGUGUGAACUUAAGCCCCAGUAAACGGCGGCCGUAACAAUAACGGUCCUAAGGUAGCGAAAUUCCUUGUCAGGUAAGUUCUGACCCGCACGAAUGGCGUAAUGACUUGGGCACUGUCUCAACUGCAAAUCCGGCGAAGUUGUAGUGCGAGUGAAGAUGCUCGCUACCCGCGAUUGGACGGAAAGACCCCGUAGAGCUUUACUGUAGCUUAGCAUUGAAUUCCGGUAUUGUCUGUACAGGAUAGGUGGGAGACUGGGAAACUAGGGCGUCAGCCUUAGUGGAGUCAACCUUGGGAUACCACCCUGACAGUACUGGGGUUCUAACAGGACGCCAUGAAUCUGGUGACUGGACAUUGUUAGGUGGGCAGUUUGACUGGGGCGGUCGCCUCCUAAAAAGUAACGGAGGCGCCCAAAGGUUCCCUCAGAACGGUCGGAAAUCGUUCGUAGAGUGCAAAGGCAGAAGGGAGCCUGACUGCGAGACAUACAAGUCGAGCAGGGACGAAAGUCGGGCUUAGUGAUCCGGUGGUACCUCGUGGGAGGGCCAUCGCUCAACGGAUAAAAGCUACCUCGGGGAUAACAGGCUGAUCUCCCCCAAGAGUCCACAUCGACGGGGAGGUUUGGCACCUCGAUGUCGGCUCGUCGCAUCCUGGGGCUGUAGUAGGUCCCAAGGGUUGGGCUGUUCGCCCAUUAAAGCGGCACGCGAGCUGGGUUCAGAACGUCGUGAGACAGUUCGGUCCCUAUCCGUCGCGGGCGUAGGAAAUUUGAGAGGAGCUGUCCUUAGUACGAGAGGACCGGGAUGGACUGACCUCUGGUGCACCAGUUGUUCCGCCAGGAGCAUGGCUGGGUAGCUAAGUCGGGAAGGGAUAAACGCUGAAAGCAUCUAAGCGUGAAGCCUCCCUCAAGAUGAGAUUUCCCAUAGCAUAAGCUAGUAAGACCCCUUGAAGAACACAAGGUUGAUAGGUCAGAGGUGUAAGUGCGGUAACGUAUUUAGCUGACUGAUACUAAUAGGUCGAGGGCUUGACCG
rnacentral:rRNA from 1 species